rnacentral:tRNA from 1 species
GGUGGAGCUCAGUGGUAAGCCCUUGUCUAUAAUGCACAAGGUCCUGGGUUCAAUCCCCAGAACCA